rnacentral:rRNA from 1 species
UGCCAGCCGCCGCGGUAAUACGUAGGGAGCGAGCGUUGUUCGGAUUUACUGGGCGUAAAGAGCACGUAGGCGGGUAUGCAAGUCGGUUGUGAAAUCCUCUGGCUCAACCAGAGAACUGCAAUCGAAACUGAAUACCUUGAGUCCAACAGAGGGAAUCGGAAUCCAAGGUGUAGCGGUGAAAUGCGUAGAUAUCUUGGAGAACAUCAGUGGCGAAGGCGGAUUCCUGGGUUGGUACUGACGCUGAGGUGCGAAAGCUAAGGGAGCGAACAGGAUUAGAUA